rnacentral:rRNA from 1 species
AUUGAACGCUGGCGGCAUGCCUUACACAUGCAAGUCGAACGGUAGAAGGGGCAACCCUUCGAGAGUGGCGAACGGGUGAGUAAUGCAUCGGAACGUGCCCAGUUGUGGGGGAUAACACUUCGAAAGAAGUGCUAAUACCGCAUACGACCUGAGGGUGAAAGCGGGGGACUCGCAAGAGCCUCGCGCAAUUGGAGCGGCCGAUGUCAGAUUAGGUAGUUGGUGGGGUAAAGGCCUACCAAGCCGACGAUCUGUAGCUGGUCUGAGAGGACGACCAGCCACACUGGGACUGAGACACGGCCCAGACUCCUACGGGAGGCAGCAGUGGGGAAUUUUGGACAAUGGACGCAAGUCUGAUCCAGCCAUGCCGCGUGCAGGAAGAAGGCCUUCGGGUUGUAAACUGCUUUUGUCAGGGAAGAAAUCCCUUGGGUUAAUACCUCGGGGGGAUGACGGUACCUGAAGAAUAAGCACCGGCUAACUACGUGCCAGCCGCCGCGGUAAAAC